rnacentral:rRNA from 1 species
CUACGGGCGGCUCCAGUGGGGAAUCUUAGACAAUGGGCGCAAGCCUGAUCUAGCCAUGCCGCGUGAGUGACGAAGGCCUUAGGGUCGUAAAGCUCUUUCGCUGGGGAAGAUAAUGACGGUACCCAGUAAAGAAACCCCGGCUAACUCCGUGCCAGCAGCCGCGGGUAAUACGGAGGGGGUUAGCGUUGUUCGGAAUUACUGGGCGUAAAGCGCGCGUAGGCGGAUCAGAAAGUUGGGGGUGAAAUCCCGGGGCUCAACCCCGGAACUGCCUUCAAAACUCCUGGUCUUGAGUUCGAGAGAGGUGAGUGGAAUUCCGAGUGUAGAGGUGAAAUUCGUAGAUAUUCGGAGGAACACCAGUGGCGAAGGCGGCUCACUGGCUCGAUACUGACGCUGAGGUGCGAAAGCGUGGGGAGCAAACAGGAUUAGAUACCCUUGUAGUC